UACGUAGGGGGCAAGCGUUAUCCGGAAUUAUUGGGCGUAAAGGGUGCGUAGGCUGCAAAACAAGUCUGUGGUUAAAAUGCGGGGCUCAACCCCGUAGUGCCGCGGAAACUGUUUAGCUAGAGUAUGGUAGAGGUAAGUGGAAUUCCAUGUGUAGCGGUAAAAUGCGUAAAUAUAUGGAGGAACACCAGUGGCGAAGGCGGCUUACUGGACCAAGACUGACGCUGAGGCACGAAAGCGUGGGGAGCAAACA
rnacentral:rRNA from 1 species